rnacentral:rRNA from 1 species
GAACGGGUGAGUAACGCGUGAGGAACCUGCCUCAAAGAGGGGGACAACAGUUGGAAACGACUGCUAAUACCGCAUAAGCCCACGGGUCGGCAUCGACCAGAGGGAAAAGGAGCAAUCCGCUUUGAGAUGGCCUCGCGUCCGAUUAGCUAGUUGGUGAGGUAACGGCCCACCAAGGCAACGAUCGGUAGCCGGACUGAGAGGUUGAACGGCCACAUUGGGACUGAGACACGGCCCAGACUCCUACGGGAGGCAGCAGUGGGGAAUAUUGCACAAUGGGGGAAACCCUGAUGCAGCGACGCCGCGUGGAGGAAGAAGGUCUUCGGAUUGU